AAGGUGAGAAGACCUCUGCGCCAAAAUAGAAACGGCUCUACUUUCUAGUGUGCAAACUUUCAAAUGUCAACGCGUUCACAAAAGAUUCACUGUCAAACAAAUGUUUGCGAGGCAGCGAUGAGGAAACGGAGUUGCGUUAAAGCCUUUCAUACGCUGUGUUAGCCGAGGAAGGAAAAACACAACCGUCUGGAGCCAUGACGUACUGAACUGUGUACAAAUCCAAAUCCAGACUUGGACAGUAUUAUUUCAAGACCGUUCCAGUUCCACAAGUGGUCAGGACAAAAGAAGGACUUCAGAUGCCGUGGCGGUGUGAUAAGGCGCAGCACAAAGCGGAGGAUCGUCCGCACCCCGAAGCGGAUUAUUUCUGCACACGGUAUGAAGCGUGUUAUUCUGCUUAUACCACAGCAAACGAUUACAAUUCUUCCGACGGUAAGGAAUGACAUAUUGCGCUUUUUUUUUUUUUAUUAUCUGUUUAUAUUUACAUUUUCAUGUAAUGGAAUGUCUGCGAGACAAGUUAGUUCCUCUUACUGCUUACAUAAUAAACAGUCGUUCCCUUUACCGGCCUGUCACUCCAACAAAACGCAACUUGUCAGGUUACCAAGAACCAGUCCUG
ensembl:lncRNA